CUGUUCCAGAAGAAAUCCCACAUGGAUCUCAAGCCGCGCCGCCCCCCCUUAAGCCAGGAGUAACCAAGUAAAAAGGCUAUAACAAAACGAAAGAGAAAAAGCAGCAAUGUAGUACAACCAUCUUCACCUGCACCAGGCUUUGCAACCCAGCAACAAGUAUGCUAUCAAAGUCCUACAAAUGCAUCCUUGUUGGGGAAUGAUACUCUAGUAGCUUCUUCAAUACCUGCAACUAGAAGAUACAACAAGAGGCCGACUAUUUCACAAGUUUUGGACAAGAUGAAAGAAAGACAAAUGAGAAGACAA